UUGGUGGGGCUACGGGAGUUCGGCUCCCAUGAGCGAAGUCGGGGCGAAGUCUGGCUCCCGUAGGAGUUCGGACAAAGUUUACCCGUAGGUGAAGUCGCGGGCGGAGCCCGGCCCCCGUAGGAACCCGGGCGAAGCCUUUCCGCAGUCGGGGUCGAAGACGGAGCCCGGCUCCCGUAGGAGUUCGGGCGAAGUCUGCCUGUGGCUGGAGUCGGGGAC
rnacentral:lncRNA from 1 species